rnacentral:rRNA from 1 species
AUUGAACGCUGGCGGCAGGCCUAACACAUGCAAGUCGAACGGUAACAGGAAGACGCUUGCUUCUUUGCUGACGAGUGGCGGCCGGGUGAGUAAUGUCUGGGAAACUGCCUGAUGGAGGGGGAUAACUACUGGAAACGGUAGCUAAUACCGCAUAACGUCGCAAGACCAAAGAGGGGGACCUUCGGGCCUCUUGCCAUCGGAUGUGCCCAGAUGGGAUUAGCUAGUAGGUGGGGUAACGGCUCACCUAGGCAACGAUCCCUAGCUGGUCUGAGAGGAUGACCAGCCACACUGGAACUGAGACACGGUCCAGACUCCUACGGGAGGCAGCAGUGGGGAAUAUUGCACAAUGGGCGCAAGCCUGAUGCAGCCAUGCCGCGUGUAUGAAGAAGGCCUUCGGGUUGUAAAGUACUUUCAGCGGGGAGGAAGGGAGUAAAGUUAAUACCUUUGCUAAUUGACGUUACCCGCAGAAGAAGCACCGGCUAACUCCGUG